rnacentral:lncRNA from 1 species
CUUCCCUUGGGGAGAAGGUGUUGAGAACGUGAGCUCUGCCUCCUCCGUUCGUUGAUCAGUGAAUAGCGUUUCUGCUCUGCUGUUCCGAUCCUGCUCUGGUUCUACUGGCGCGGGCAGCUCCCGGCAAAAGGACCCACUUGCGGGUCACCAGUCCCUUAGGGCUCGGUAACAGGAGUGUGGGAGACUAGCCGGGGGAGGCAGGCAGUGCCAGGUCAUGUCUUGGAGAAGGGCUUCGAGCCCUUCAGACUGGCGCUAAGAGAGGAAGAGCCAACAAAUCAGACCUGUGGUCGAGAACUGUCAUCAUGCACAUAGAUCCUAGGAAGGAUCUGAAGCCAGGCAGAGCCCAGCUCAAAGUCACGGUAACGAGAUGUUGUCUCUUCAGAAUCCACCCUUUAAGACCGCCAGGACACAGCUCACAUCUACAGGAGGGGGCUUUCAAAUGGCUCCUGCAAAGAGCCAAGCUUGGUUGCCUUUUGUUGUGUUCAAGUCUCCAAGCUGGUGGGCCUGAGAGCCUUCUGAUGAAAAAGGAAAUAAGGACUCCAAACUCAGACCGCCACAUGCUUCGGUGACACUUCUGGAGCCGUGACCAACCUGGAAAUCUGAUGAUCAGCAUCAGGCCCAGAGGGGAAGAGAAACACGAGUGUGGGAGAAGAAAACAACAGACCCUCCCAGAGCGGCAGCCGCGGCGUGCUUGUUUGCAUCCAGAGGUGCGCCAGCUCUGCUCACUCCUUUCUAACAGACAGUACACACUUGGGCCCAUUGUCCUCCAUGGGCCUCCAUGUCGUCUGUGUCUUGUUUCAAGGUUUGCCUUCUCUCAGAAAGGGCAAUAUAAAUUCCUAGGUAAGUCUCAGUGUCUUAGCAGAGGUUUGCCACCAGUUUGAGAGGAAACAACAAGUGGUAUCCAGAAAAAGUCCUCUGAAAAGAAGGGUAAAACCAUCCAGAGUGGGCCUGCAGUGAGCUGACGGGUCAGUGUCGCUGAGCGCGCAGGCUUGAGAAGAUCUGGUUUCUGUUUUUUCCGAGUUACUCUAUUAGGAGUAGACAUAUUGCUAAUUGCUGUGGAAGCUGGGCCUGUGGGUAAUGUUGGCUGUGUGGACACUGGGACAGCAUACGUGGAGAUCUGAGAGUGAAAAUUUGGGACCUGUGACAGAUGGGACCCAUGCCACACCCAGGGGCUUGAGGCCCUUGCAAUGAUGACCAUGGAUGAGGCCUGCCCACAGACCACGAUCUGCCAUUUACAUAGGCAAAUGGCCACAGAAUGAGAGGCUGGUUCUUCACCCUGGCUGCACAUUAGAGUUAACUGGUAUUCGAGUUAAUAUUACCGUGCAUAAUAAAUCCACCGAGACUUAGUGGUGUAAAACAGCCACCAUUUUGCUACACCCGUGGAGUCUGCGGAUCGGAAUCCGAGUAGAGCUCAGCUGGUGGCUCUUUGGCUCCAGUGGCAGUUCCUCAGUGAUAUCAGGUGCUGGAUGGGCUGGUGUGCAGGGUCCUAGAUGGCUUUACCGCUUGUGUAGUGUCUUGGAGGGGAGGACCUGGGCCUGAUGACCUGAGUGCCUACAUGUGGCCUUUCCAGCACAGCAGUCUCACGGUUGUUGGACUGCAUCAGAGUCCAGAGCAAAGCUGGCAGACAUGCGUGGCCUUUAUGAUGCAGCCUGGGAAGUCAGUCACAUGGCCUUCCCUUUGCCACGCUCUGUUGGUUGAAGCACACAAGCCCACUCAGUGAAAGGGGACGGGAAUCAGCCUCCGCCUUUAAAGGAAGGCAUUGUCAAGGUCACGUUGUGGACGAGCGUGAGGGCCAGGAGGUGCUGCUGCACCAUCUUUAGAAAUGCGGUCAGCUGUACCUGGGAAGUUUUUAAACAGCGUCUACCUUCAUUCUGUUUCAUUUGGUCCAGGGCAGUGGUUCCCAUCCUCGCGGGACAUGAGGUCACUUGGGAGCUUUUAAAAAUACCUGUGUCUAGGUCACACCUCUGAACAGGCAAAUCAGAGUCUGUGGGAGUGUGUUUAGCCAUCUGUAGGGCAGCCAGCCAAGUUCCAAAACCUCUGGAGAAUGAGGCCCAGGAGACAGGUAUCUCACACACACACACACACACACACACACACACACACACCCCUUUCUAGGUGCUUCUAAUGUGCUUCCAGGGUAGAGAACAGUUGGGGUAAACCUUAUGAGCCUGGUCCAUGAGUAACUUUGCAG